rnacentral:rRNA from 1 species
UACGGAGGCUCCAAGCGUUAUCCGGAAUCAUUGGGUUUCACGGGUCCGUCGGCGGUCUAGCAAGUCAGUGGUGAAAUCUCUCCGCUCAACGGGGAAACGGCCAUUGAUACUACUAGACUUGAAUUAUUAGGAAGUAACUAGAAUAUGUAGUGUAGCGGUGAAAUGCUUAGAUAUUACAUGGAAGACCAAUUGCGAAGGCAGGUUACUACUAAUUGAUUGACGCUGAUGGACGAAAGCGUGGGGAGCGAACAGU